rnacentral:pre_miRNA from 1 species
AUUAAGUGCAGCUAUGAGUUUCUGCGUCCAACUUUAAUCGUUCGUCUUAUUUGAAAUUUUUUUAUAAUUAGUAUUUUUGUUGUUAUAAGAUGAUAAAACAUGAAUAGUACUUUACUCGUGACUAUUUUUUUUAAAUAAGACGAAUGAUUAAAGUUGGACGUGGAAAACUAUUGCUAUAGUUAUU